rnacentral:rRNA from 1 species
GACGAACGCUGGCGGCGUGCUUAACACAUGCAAGUCGGACGGAAAGGCCCUGCUUGCAGGGUACUCGAGUGGCGAACGGGUGAGUAACACGUGGGUGAUCUGCCCUGCACUUCGGGAUAAGCCUGGGAAACUGGGUCUAAUACCGGAUAGGAGCCAUUUUUAGUGUGAUGGUUGGAAAGUUUUUUCGGUGUAGGAUGAGCUCGCGGCCUAUCAGCUUGUUGGUGGGGUAAUGGCCUACCAAGCCGGCGACGGGUAGCCGGCCUGAGAGGUUGGACGGCAACAUGGGACUUGGAUACGGCCCAGAACCCCUCCGGAGGCAGCAGUGGGGGAUAUUGCCCCAUGGGCGGAAGCCGUAUGCCGCGGCGCCCCGGGGGGGAUGACGGCCUUCGGGUUGUAAACUCCUUUCGCUAGGGACGAAGCUUUUUGUGACGGUACCUAGAUAAGAAGCACCGGCUAACUACGUG